rnacentral:rRNA from 1 species
AGCGUUGCUCGGAAUCACUGGGCGUAAAGCGCACGCAGGCGGAUUGUUAAGUCAGGGGUGAAAUCCUGGAGCUCAACUCCAGAACUGCCUUUGAUACUGGCGAUCUUGAGUCCGGGAGAGGUGAGUGGAACUGCGAGUGUAG